GGGCGUGGCCGUGGUAGCGAAGGUGUAGCUGUUUUGUUAACAGCCGAAAUUAAAGGCUUUCCCAAUUGGGACAACAUAUAGGGAGGCAUCAGGGAUUAUAGGAUCCAGGUUGGUGGAAGUGAUUAAAGGGAAAGGCGAGACUUGGGGCGGGAUAGCCUGAGUAGCGAGAUGAGGCAACGCUGGAAGGGGCGGGCCCGAGGGUGGGGCCGGGCGGCUGACUAGAUUUCGGCUUCCGAAUCUUGCAGCCUCCUGAGACAUCUAGGACUCUUUGAUAGUUUCUCAGGAGCAAUUAUGGAUUGUUUGAUUCCACCAAAGGUUUUAGAGAAACUACUCUGUGGCGGGCCCUGUGCUAGGCACAAUACGGGGAGAUGAUGUUGAGCUCCCUCCAGCCGGAGAGAUGCAUAUAGAAGGGGCAGGGAGGUUGAUAGCUAAGGAACGGAGGGAGGGUUGUAGGCCGCGGUUCUAGAAGGUAGAGGCCCUGGGAGAAGGAGUGCCCUUCCCAUCAGCCCGACCCCACCUGGAUUGCUGGAGGCAGCUGUGGGCCCCGGGAGGUAGAACCACAAGGACUUACUGAUGGAUUGAAUAUAGGAUAUGAGGGAAAAGGAAGAAUCAAGGAUAAGAUCUAGAUUUUUGGCCUGAGUACCUGGAUGGAUAUGAGACAACCCCCCCUCUUUAGAAUAUAUCCAGAAUCUGGUCAUAUCUCACCAGCUCCAACACUAUUUCCUGAUCCAAAUACCCUGGAUUCACCUUCUCUCACCCGGACUAUUGCAAGAGCUCCCUAACUAGUCUCCCAGCUUUCAUCUUUACCGCCUCUCCUCCAAUUUCUUCACAGCAGCUAAAAGAAAUGGAAAUCCACUCAUGUCAAGCCUCUGUGCAAAAUCCUCCAUCAUCCUUGGAGUAAAAGCUCAUGAGGUCACGACCUCAUCUCCUGCUCCUCUCACUUGGUCUUUUAAAAGUUUCAGGGCUUCCCUGGUGGCACAGUGGUUAAGAAUCCGCCUGCCAAUGCAGGGGACACGGGUUCGAGCCCUGGUCUGGGAAGAUCCCACAUGCCACGGAGCAACUAAGCCCAUGAGCCACAGAUACUGUGCCUGCGCAUCUGGAGCCUGUGCUCUGCAACGGGAGAGGCCGCGACAGUGAGAGGCCCGCACACCGCGAUGAAGAGUGGCCCCCGCUUGCCGCAACUGGAGAAAGCCCUCGCACAGAAACGAAGACCCAACACAGCCAUAAGGAGGAGAAACCAUUUGCAAAGGAUGAGUCUCAUACACAGACUGAAUCUCUCUGAAAUAUCAACCCCCAAGG